rnacentral:rRNA from 1 species
AGAGUUUGAUCCUGGCUCAGGACGAACGCUGGCGGCGUGCUUAACACAUGCAAGUCGAACGAGACGAUUUAGAAGCUUGCUUUUAAAGAGUCGAGUGGCAAACGGGUGAGUAACGCGUAGACAACCUGCCUUUGAGAUGGGGACAACAGUCCGAAAGGACUGCUAAUACCGAAUGUUGUAACUCCUUCGCAUGAAGGAGAUACUAAAGAUGGCCUCUACUUGUAAGCUAUCGCUCAAAGAUGGGUCUGCGUCUGAUUAGCUUGUUGGNGGGGUAACGGCCCACCANGGCGACNAUCAUUAGCCGGUCUGAANGGAUGAACGGCCCAUUGNAAUGANANC